rnacentral:snRNA from 1 species
AUACUUACCUGGCAGGGGAGAUACCAUGAUCAUGUAGGUUGUUCACCCAGGGCGAGGCUCAGCUAUUGCACUGAGGCUGUCUGACCUCUGUGAUCAGCGGUGAGCUCGACAGUAGUGCAGUUUGCGUUAGGACUUAUUGGCUGAGAGUCUAUAAAUA